UUUUCUGCUUCCACUUCCGGUGUCCUCAGUCCUCUCAAGCUCUUGGAACACAGCAAGAUGGUUUUCGGUCAGGCCUCAAGAAUUGUCGCAAGGAGGUUUUCUACCUCUGCUGUAAGAAAUAGCCAAGAAUGGCAGCAGACUGGAAUUCCUGGAACGAAUCUGCCUUUCGACAUCAACAACAAGGUGAAGCUGACAGUGUAUUUCGCUCUGUUCUUCAGCAGCGGUUUGACUGCCCCAUUCCUCAUUGCCCGUCGUCACUUGCUGUUGACGUCGGCCAAGUAAGGCGUGCCGUGGUCAGGCUGUGUCGGAGAGCGAGUGAGGUGCCUGCAGUGAGAUGAGUGUUCGCAGUUGGUUACAGGAAAGUCGUCUGCCUUGGAGGAUCCCUAAAAAGCCCAAAUUGUGGAGCCAGAACUCUGAUCAAUAUGUCAGUGGUGUAUUUAGAUCCAUAUACAAUUUGUAAAAUGUAAAAUGUGUAACGUUUCAUCUUUACAUGAAAUUUCUAGUAAAAAAAAAGUUUUGUUGGUGUUUGGCUUUUGUAUUGGCUAUACAAAAUGUACACACAAAUUGAUUUUGACAAUACAGGAAGACGUUAUACUGUAACAGUUAAUGUAGUUUUGUUUUAUUUUAUACUGUUAUUGGUAUCUUUACUGCAACUCGAAGCUCGUCAAUUUUUAAAAUUUUUUUUUUGGUAUAAACGUCUGAAGGAGUACCUGGAUAGAUUGUCGCAUAUACUUAGCGUGAAUGUCACUGGUUGAUUGUCUAAUUAUUUCUUUGUAAUAAAUUUUCUUGAGAGCAAAAUUAAA